rnacentral:lncRNA from 1 species
UCCCUCCCUGCCUCCCUCUCUUCCUCCUUUCUGCCUUUCUUCCUCCCCUCCUUCCUCCUUUCUUACCCCUUCCUUCUUCCCUCCUUUCCUUACUGCCCCUUCUCUUCUCUCCCGUCCUUCCCUCUCCCCUCCCAUCCUGUCAUCUUCCUCCUCACUCUCUGCUUGUUACUUGGUGAUAUAAAUGAAAUUUCAGUGUGAUUCCAAAAUCUACCUGUCUUCCUGUGCCAUAGAAAGUCUAUCCCACUGUCUGAGAAUGGAGAUAUACUAUAGAAAAUUGAAUUUCUAGAAUCUUAAGAGCUCUCUUAUGUUAGCUCCUGGAAGUUAAAUGCUCUCCUUUCAAAGGACCUGCCGAUUCCUUUUGACUCUCAUGACAUCAGCCACAUUUAUGGCUCACUGAUGCAAGUUGAGUGGACGAUUUAUUCACCAUCUUCUUGAAGCUAUUGUGGAGACAUGGUGCUUGCAUAGCAUUGGACAAACACACAGAUGAAAUUAUGUACUAUUGGGGAAUUCAUUGACCCUGUUGCUGCUGACAUACUCUGUUCAUUGACCUUCCAAUGUGGACUGAAGACCAGGAAUCCUUCAAGCCUUUGCACCAGGUUGGGACCACCAAGGCAUCAAGCUUUGUGGACUAAGCAUCUGUGGGUUCUCAGCCUCUCCAGCACGAAGAUGGCCAGGUUGGACUAUCUAGUCUGCAUUGCUGGCCUGAGAUGCCGGGACUCUGUACACUUCAACUGCACCAUUUUACCAACUAAGCAUCUCUGGAACUCACUCAUCUGCCUGUUUGCUACAAUCCGGCUUUUUAUAACAGAGAGAUAGGCCAGCUGCUGGUUCCACCCCAUUUCCACCAAGAAGACUGAUGGGCACUGAAGAAGCUUCAUCUUGAGUCAAUGACAACACUAGUCACUGAGCAACCCUGCCCUUCACCUCAACUGCUACAAAGUAUUCCAGACUGUGGACAAGAGGACAGUGGAAUCGACUUUCCCUGUGUUGCUUGGGCCAACGGAUUCUUGUAAGUUCCAGUGAGCGGAAUUGGAUCCAAACAAACAGGUCUAAGAGGCGCCAGGGAGUUCUGCACAGCCUGGACUGCAAUGAAACAACCAGCUACACCAGGACUUGGCAGCACCCUAACCUUCUCAGGUCCCCCAAAGAUGGUCAACGACCCCCACAUCAGCAGGAAGCAGUCUUGAGAAUUCGAUGUCCAUCCUUAUUCCUUAACCUGCUAUGUCUAAUACCCCACCUUUUUAAAUAAUAAGUAGAGGUGGGAAUGAAAGGUUCAGGCUUUAAUGCUGAUCGGCAAUAUCUCUUUAAGAGACAGACCCUGCCCCCUGACAACAGUCAGGGCACGCACAGGGACGUGCCAUCACCAAGUCACCCACUAUGCAUUACAGCCUGUGUGAGGACUCUGGGCAUUCGUGGAACCUCAGUGAGCAUGCUCAGUCUUCCCUUUAAAAGUUCCAACAUCCCUGCUGCUCUCUCUCUCUCUCUCUCUCUCUCUCUCAUCUCUCUCUCUCUCUACUUCACUCUCUCUUCUCCCACCCACGUGCUCUCUCUGCCUCUCUAUGGCAUCUGGCCAUGGUGGUCAGUCAUUACCCCUGUUCCUCUUCUCUCUUAGUCUCCCUACUCUGCCGGGCCCAUAUAACAUACUAGUCAAUAUGUCUCAUCUUGCGUCCUCCUCUUUUUCUUCAAAAACAUAACACUGGGAAUGUAUGCAUGCGCCACCAUGCCCAGAGUUCUUCUAAUAGUUGCUACCUACACUGGUCCUGGUGGGCCCUAGUACCCAACACCUACAGACUCCUAUUUAAGUAUAACUAAGUAACCGUUGGCUAAUGUUUCCUAAAUAAUUUUAUUUAAAAAAAACGGCAUGCUAAAAUAUGAAUCUAAAAAAUUAACUAUAUUUAUCAAAGGAAUGC